rnacentral:rRNA from 1 species
UCUGGUUGAUCCUGCCAGUAGUUAUAUGCUUGUCUCAAAGAUUAAGCCAUGCAUGUCUAAGUACACACGAAUUAAAAGUGAAACCGCAAAAGGCUCAUUAUAUCAGUUAUGGUUCCUUAGAUCGUUAACAGUUACUUGGAUAACUGUGGUAAUUCUAGAGCUAAUACAUGCAAUUAAAACAUGAACCUUAUGGGACAUGUGCUUUUAUUAGGCUAAAACCAAGCGAUCGCAAGAUCGUUAUAUUGGUUGAACUCUAGAUAACAUGCAGAUCGUAUGGUCUUGUACCGACGACAGAUCUUUCAAAUGUCUGCCCUAUCAACUUUUGAUGGUAGUAUCUAGGACUACCAUGGUUGCAACGGGUAACGGGGAAUCAGGGUUCGAUUCCGGAGAGGGAGCCUGAGAAACGGCUACCACAUCUAAGGAAGGCAGCAGCGCGCGUAAAUUACCCACUCCCAGCUCGGGGAGGUAGUGACGAAAAAUAACAAUACAGGACUCAUAUCCGAGGCCCUGUAAUUGGAAUGAGUACACUUUAAAUCCUUUAACAAGGACCAAUUGGAGGGCAAGUCUGGUGCCAGCAGCCGCGGUAAUUCCAGCUCCAAUAGCGUAUAUUAAAGUUGUUGCGGUUAAAACGUUCGUAGUUGAACUUGUGCUUCAUACGGGUAGUACAACUUACAAUUGUGGUUAGUACUAUACCUUUAUGUAUGUAAGCGUAUUACCGGUGGAGUUCUUAUAUGUGAUUAAAUACUUGUAUUUUUUCAUAUGUUCCUCCUAUUUAAAAACCUGCAUUAGUGCUCUUAAACGAGUGUUAUUGUGGGCCGGUACUAUUACUUUGAACAAAUUAGAGUGCUUAAAGCAGGCUUCAAAUGCCUGAAUAUUCUGUGCAUGGGAUAAUGAAAUAAGACCUCUGUUCUGCUUUCAUUGGUUUUCAGAUCAAGAGGUAAUGAUUAAUAGAAGCAGUUUGGGGGCAUUAGUAUUACGACGCGAGAGGUGAAAUUCUUGGACCGUCGUAAGACUAACUUAAGCGAAAGCAUUUGCCAAAGAUGUUUUCAUUAAUCAAGAACGAAAGUUAGAGGUUCGAAGGCGAUCAGAUACCGCCCUAGUUCUAACCAUAAACGAUGCCAGCUAGCAAUUGGGUGUAGCUACUUUUAUGGCUCUCUCAGUCGCUUCCCGGGAAACCAAAGCUUUUGGGCUCCGCGGGGAAGUAUGGUUGCAAAGCUGAAACUUAAAGGAAUUGACGGAAGGGCACCACCAGGAGUGGAGCCUCGGCUUAAUUUGACUCAACACGGGAAAACUUACCAGGUCCGAACAUAAGUGUGUAAGACAGAUUGAUAGCUCUUUCUCGAAUCUAUGGGUGGUGGUGCAUGGCCGUUCUUAGUUCGUGGAGUGAUUUGUCUGGUUAAUUCCGAUAACGAACGAGACUCAAAUAUAUUAAAUAGAUAUCUUCAGGAUUAUGGUGCUGAAGCUUAUGUAGCCUUCAUUCAUGUUGGCAGUAAAAUGCUUAUUGUGUUUGAAUGUGUUUAUGUAAGUGGAGCCGUACCUGUUGGUUUGUCCCAUUAUAAGGACACUAGCUUCUUAAAUGGACAAAUUGCGUCUAGCAAUAAUGAGAUUGAGCAAUAACAGGUCUGUGAUGCCCUUAGAUGUCCUGGGCUGCACGCGCGCUACAAUGAAAGUAUCAACGUGUAUUUCCUAGACCGAGAGGUCCGGGUAAACCGCUGAACCACUUUCAUGCUUGGGAUUGUGAACUGAAACUGUUCACAUGAACUUGGAAUUCCCAGUAAGUGUGAGUCAUUAACUCGCAUUGAUUACGUCCCUGCCCUUUGUACACACCGCCCGUCGCUACUACCGAUUGAAUUAUUUAGUGAGGUCUCCGGACGUGAUCACUGUGACGCCUUGCGUGUUACGGUUGUUUCGCAAAAGUUGACCGAACUUGAUUAUUUAGAGGAAGUAAAA